CCUUUGGAAGUCAAUUUACAUGGAAGAUGGCAAAGUGUAUGCAACAAGAUGGCUCUUGGGAGUGUGGAUAUUUGGUAAUAAGAAACAUGUUCAACUUUGUUCUCGAAAAGCAAUAUGAUUUUCCGAAAAAGAUUUGGAACGACACAAGAGAUGUCACUGAAGCGGAAAUCGAUGACUUGGUUAAGAACAUCAUGACUCAGUUUGUCAGAGAAGUGCUUAAUGAUACCAC